rnacentral:rRNA from 1 species
UACGGAGGGUGCAAGCGUUAUCCGGAUUUACUGGGUUUAAAGGGUGCGCAGGCGGAUCUGUAAGUCAGUGGUGAAAUCUCCGGGCUUAACCCGGAAACUGCCGUUGAUACUAUAUAUCUUGAAUGCUGUGGAGGUAAGCAGAAUAUGUCAUGUAGCGGUGAAAUGCUUAGAUAUGACAUAGAAUACCUAUUGCGAAGGCAGCUUACUACGCAGAUAUUGACGCUCAUGCACGAAAGCGUGGGGAUCAAACAGG